rnacentral:rRNA from 1 species
UACGUAGGGGGCAAGCGUUGUCCGGAAUCAUUGGGCGUAAAGAGCGUGUAGGCGGUUCGGUAAGUCGGCUGUGAAAGUCCAGGGCUCAACCCUGGGAUGCCGGUCGAUACUGUCGGGCUAGAGUACGGAAGAGGCGAGUGGAAUUCCCGGUGUAGCGGUGAAAUGCGCAGAUAUCAGGAGGAACACCAAUUGCGAAGGCAGCUCGCUGGGACGUUACUGACGCUGAGACGCGAAAGCGUGGGGAGCAAACAGG